rnacentral:rRNA from 1 species
UACGAAGGGGGGCUAGCGUUGCUCGGAAUUACUGGGCGUAAAGCGCACGUAGGCGGCUCUUUAAGUCGGAGGUGAAAUCCUGGAGCUCAACUCCAGAACUGCCUUCGAUACUGUAGAGCUUGAGUUCGGGAGAGGUGAGUGGAACUGCGAGUGUAGAGGUGAAAUUCGUAGAUAUUCGCAAGAACACCAGUGGCGAAGGCGGCUCACUGGCCCGAUACUGACGCUGAGGUGCGAAAGCGUGGGGAGCAAACAGGG